rnacentral:sRNA from 1 species
UUCUGUGUUUGUGUCUUCAAAACAGCUGCUAUCACCAAUAAUUAAACCAUAAAAAACCGAAAUUAUUUUUCCCUCUGGGGUGAUUACAACCACACGGGAGCUGUGAUGAGAGUCACAGGGGUUCCAUCUCCAAAGUGACCUUAAGAUCUGAGGUGACCACUGCAACUCCAAGCCAUCCUGAAAGCUAUUCUUGUGACCAAAUCAACAGCUCUUUCCAAGAAAAAAAGAUCUUAUUGACGUGAAGUCUUGACACUGCCUCCUGGGAGCAUCGUCCUGUAAUCAAGGGCAGAAAACCCUGUGUGUGUACAUGUGUGUAAAUGCAUGUGUGUGCCCAUAGGGCCACCAUUAGGCUAAAAGGCCCUUAUGACAUCCAUGUGAGAAUUAUUUCCUCCUCCCUCCAGGCAGAUGCAGCCCCAUGCUAACUUGUGGAACAGGUUUGGUUUCAGGCCACACUUACUCUUUUGACCAAAGUUACAACUGUUCACAACACCUGUGUGUGUGUGUGUGGGUGGGGGGGGCGGGGGGUGUCCAUAUGCGAAGAUUUCAAAAACAUAUCAGAAAUUACUCCCAAGAGGUAUCCCUUUUUAUCUGGAGGGCAUAACAUCGUUCUAGAUUUAUACAGGGAGGUGGAUAU